rnacentral:rRNA from 1 species
GACGAACGCUGGCGGCGUGCCUAACACAUGCAAGUCGAGCGGAAAUAUUCUGAAGAGUAAUCGGAAGGAUAUUUUAGCGGCGGACGGGUGAGUAACACGUGGGCAACCUGCCCUGUACAGGGGGAUAACACUGGGAAACUAGUGCUAAUACCGCAUGAUACGCGAAGAUGGCAUCAUUUUUGCGUCAAAGGAGAAAUCCGGUACAGGAUGGGCCCGCGUCCGAUUAGCUAGUUGGUGAGGUAAUGGCUCACCAAGGCGACGAUCGGUAGCCGGAUUGAGAGGUUGAACGGUCACAUUGGGACUGAGACACGGCCCAGACUCCUACGGGAGGCAGCAGUGGGGAAUAUUGCACAAUGGGGGAAACCCUGAUGCAGCGACGCCGCGUGAAGGAAGAAGGUCUUCGGAUUGUAAACUUCUUUGAAUUGGGGACGAAAUAUGACGGUACCCAAGGAACAAGCCACGGCUAACUACGUG